rnacentral:rRNA from 1 species
AACGAACGCUGGCGGCAGGCCUAACACAUGCAAGUCGAACGCUCCGCAAGGGGAGUGGCGCACGGGUGAGUAACACGUGGGAACCUACCUUCUGGUACGGAACAACCAAGGGAAACUCUGGCUGAUACCGUAUACGACCUCCGGGUGAAAGAUUGAUCGCCGGAAGAGGGGCCCGCGUCCGAUUAGGUAGUUGGUGAGGUAACGGUUCACCAAGCCUGCGAUCGGUAGCUGGUCUGAGAGGAUGACCAGCCACACUGGGACUGAGACACGGCCCAGACUCCUACGGGAGGCAGCAGUGGGGAAUAUUGGACAAUGGGCGCAAGCCUGAUCCAGCCAUGCCGCGUGAGUGAUGAAGGCCUU